GUGAAUACGUUCCCGGGCCUUGUACACACCGCCCGUCACACCACGAGAGUUUGUAACACCCGAAGUCGGUGAGGUAACCUUUUGGAGCCAGCCGCCGAAGGUGGGACAGAUGAUUGGGGUGAAGUCGUAACAAGGUAGCCGUAUCGGAAGGUGCGGCUGGAUCACCUCCUUUCU
rnacentral:rRNA from 1 species